CAGUAACCGCGGUAAUACCGAGGGUGCGAGCGUUAAUCGGAUUUACUGGGCGUAAAGCGUGCGUAGGCGGCUUUUUAAGUCGGAUGUGAAAUCCCUGAGCUUAACUUAGGAAUUGCAUUCGAUACUGGGAAGCUAGAGUAUGGGAGAGGAUGGUAGAAUUCCAGGUGUAGCGGUGAAAUGCGUAGAGAUCUGGAGGAAUACCGAUGGCGAAGGCAGCCAUCUGGCCUAAUACUGACGCUGAGGUACGAAAGCAUGGGGAGCAAACAGGAUUAGAUACCCGCGUAGUCCCUGUCUCUUAUAC
rnacentral:rRNA from 1 species